GAUGAACGCUAGCGGCAGGCUUAAUACAUGCAAGUUGAGGGGCAGCAUGAUAUACGCGAGUAUAUUGAUGGCGACCGGCGGACGGGUGAGUAAUAGGUAGGAGACCUACCUCAUACAGGGGGAUAGCAUAGAGAAAUCUGUGGUAAUACCCCAUGAGGUUAUAUGAAUAGAGGCAUAUAAUCAAAGCAUAAGUGAUUAUGCGGUAUGAGAGGGGCCUACUGACCAUUAGCUAGUUGGUGAGGUAAGGGCUCACCAAGGCGAAGAUGGUUAGGGGUUUUGAGAGAGAGACCCCCCACAUUGGAACUGAGAGACGGUCCAGACUCCUACGGGAGGCAGCAGUAGGGAAUAUUGGGCAAUGGGCGAAAGCCUGACCCAGCCAUGCCGCGUGAAGGAAGACGGCCUUAUGGGUUGUAAACUUCUUUACUACGCGAAUAGAGGUUAGUACGAGAUACUAAUAGGAAGGUAGUGUAGUAAAAAGCACCGGCUAACUCCGUG
rnacentral:rRNA from 1 species